rnacentral:rRNA from 1 species
UUGGGGAAUCUUCCGCAAUGGACGAAAGUCUGACGGAGCAACGCCGCGUGAGUGAAGAAGGUUUUCGGAUCGUAAAGCUCUUUCGUUAGGGACGAACGUGCUCUUUGUGAAUAAUGAGGAGUAAUGACGGUACCUAAAUAAGAAGCCACGGCUAACUACGUGCCAGCAGCCGCGGUAAUACGUAGGUGGCAAGCGUUGUCCGGAAUUAUUGGGCGUAAAGCGCUCGCAGGCGGGAUAUCAAGUCUGUCUUAAAAGUGCGAGGCUCAACCUCGUGAGGGGACAGAAACGGGUAUUCUUGAGUGUCGGAGAGGAAAGUGGAAUUCCAAGUGUAGCGGUGAAAUGCGUAGAGAUUUGGAAGAACACCAGUGGCGAAGGCGACUUUCUGGACGAUGUCUGACGCUGAGGCGCGAAAGCUAGGGGAGCGAACGGGAUUAGAUACCCUUGUAGUCC